rnacentral:rRNA from 1 species
GACGAACGCUGGCGGCGUGCUUAACACAUGCAAGUCGAACGGAAAGGCCCUGCUUUUGUGGGGUGCUCGAGUGGCGAACGGGUGAGUAACACGUGAGUAACCUGCCCUUGACUUUGGGAUAACUUCAGGAAACUGGGGCUAAUACCGGAUAGGAGCUCCUGCUGCAUGGUGGGGGUUGGAAAGUUUCGGCGGUUGGGGAUGGACUCGCGGCUUAUCAGCUUGUUGGUGGGGUAGUGGCUUACCAAGGCUUUGACGGGUAGCCGGCCUGAGAGGGUGACCGGCCACAUUGGGACUGAGAUACGGCCCAGACUCCUACGGGAGGCAGCAGUGGGGAAUAUUGCACAAUGGGCAGAAGCCUGAUGCAGCAACGCCGCGUGCGGGAUGACGGCCUUCGGGCUGUAAACCGCUUUCGCCUGUGACGAAGCGUGAGUGACGGUAAUGGGUAAAGAAGCACCGGCUAACUACGUG